AUACGGAGGACGCGAGCGUUAUCCGGAUUCAUUGGGUUUAAAGGGUGCGCAGGCGGCCGUGCAAGUCAGCGGUGAAAGCCCGGGGCUCAACCCCGGAAGUGCCGUUGAUACUGCGUGGCUGGAAUGCGGUCGAGGCGGGCGGAACGUGGGGUGGUGCGGUGAAAUGCGUAGAUAUGCCACAGAACGCAGAUAGCGGAGGCAGCUCGCCGGACCUGCAUUGACGCUCGGGCACGAAAGCGUGGGGAUCGAACAGGAUUAGAUACCCUGGUAGUCCACGCCGUAAACGAUGGGCGCUCGUCGUCGGCGACAGACAGUCGGCGGCCAAGCGAAAGCGAUAAGCGCCCCACCUGGGGAGUACGGUCGCAAGGCUGAAACUCAAAUGAAUUGACGGGG
rnacentral:rRNA from 1 species